rnacentral:rRNA from 1 species
AUGGCGCAUGGUCAACCUUCGGUUUCCUCUUAUCAGUUGACCCUAUCCGAAUUAGCUAAACAACAGUUGUGUGAACCAGCAACUCAUGAAUUGGCUAACCCGGUACUUGUCCAUUCAACAUUACCACGGGGAACUUUGGAUUCUUCCCUCCGUGGAUGGCACUCUGAGCAUUCGUUUCACGCCUUGUGUUUCCAUCCAAUGUCACCCAUUCCUAGAGCUGAUCUAGACUUCACUUUAGGGACCAGGAUAGUAUCACAAAAAUUGGGCUGGGAGUAUCAUGAAAUCCAGUAUGUCAAACGUCCAAAGGGUUAUACUCAAUGGGGUGUUGAGGUCUUAAACAAUCAUUAUUUUAAUCGGCAAGGGGGCGAAGAAAAUACGGACUAUAUUCGUGGCGCCAUUUAUUGUUCCCUUUGCAAUUAUUCUGUCAGCCCCUCUUUGCUCCGCUCUUUACUAGAGAGGUGGAGUCCUCAAACCAAUACUUUCAUGCUCUCGUGUGGCGAACGCACCAUCACUUUGCUUGAUAUGUUGCUUAUGGCUGGGCUGCCUAUAGUAGGCGAACCCUACGAAGAAUAUAUCCCGUCACUCACUAAGCUAAAUCCUUCAUUACUCUUGUACCCAAACUUUUUAUUUGAUCUUUUGGAUGCGUGGGAGGUUCUUUCCGCCGAAAGCAGCAUAAAGAAAAAUUUGUUACUUUCCAGGCUUGGUGUGAUUAUUUCCACAACAAGCGGGCUGAUUUUUUGCCAUCCACCAGUCUUCGUAAAAGUCGUAUGUAUGUCGCAGCUUUUGUCGCGCUUUGGCUUUGCUGCUUUGUGGUCGUUGGUGAAGGGCCGUUUAUUCGCCCUAGCAUCCUUGUCAUGGCGUCUUGGAUUGCUUUAG